GACGAACGCUGGCGGCGUGCUUAACACAUGCAAGUCGAACGGAAAGGCCCUGCUUUUGUGGGGUGCUCGAGUGGCGAACGGGUGAGUCACACGUGAGUAACCUGCCCUUGACUUUGGGAUAACUUCAGGAAACUGGGGCUAAUACCGGAUAGGAGCUCCUGCUGCAUGGUGGGGGUUGGAAAGUUUCGGCGGUUGGGGAUGGACUCGCGGCUUAUCAGCUUGUUGGUGGGGUAGUGGCUUACCAAGGCUUUGACGGGUAGCCGGCCUGAGAGGGUGACCGGCCACACUGGGACUGAGAUACGGCCCAGACUCCUACGGGAGGCAGCAGUGGGGAAUAUUGCACAAUGGGCGGAAGCCUGAUGCAGCAACGCCGCGUGAGGGAUGACGGCCUUCGGGUUGUAAACCGCUUUCGCCUGUGACGAAGCGUGAGUGACGGUAAUGGGUAAAGAAGCACCGGCUAACUACGUG
rnacentral:rRNA from 1 species